GACAGAGGGUGCAAACGUUGUUCGGAAUUACUGGGCGUAAAGCGCGUGUAGGCUGUCUCGCAAGUCGGAUGUGAAAGCCCACGGCUCAACCGUGGAGGGUCAUUGGAAACUGGGGAACUUGAGUGCAGGAGAGAAGAGUGGAAUUCCACGUGUAGCGGUGAAAUGCGUAGAGAUGUGGAGGAACACCAGUGGCGAAGGCGACUCUUUGGCCUGUAACUGACACUGAGGCGCGAAAGCGUGGGGAGCAAACAGG
rnacentral:rRNA from 1 species